GACGAACGCUGGCGGCGUGCUUUAUACAUGCAAGUCGAACGGUAACAGGCCGCAAGGUGCUGACGAGUGGCGAACGGGUGAGUAAUGCAUCGGAACGUGCCCAGUCGUGGGGGAUAACGCAGCGAAAGCUGUGCUAAUACCGCAUACGAUCUAUGGAUGAAAGCGGGGGACCGUAAGGCCUCGCGCGAUUGGAGCGGCCGAUGUCAGAUUAGGUAGUUGGUGGGGUAAAGGCCUACCAAGCCAACGAUCUGUAGCUGGGCUGAGAGGACGACCAGCCACACUGGGACUGAGACACGGCCCAGACUCCUACGGGAGGCAGCAGUGGGGAAUUUUGGACAAUGGGCGCAAGCCUGAUCCAGCAAUGCCGCGUGCAGGAAGAAGGCCUUCGGGUUGUAAACUGCUUUUGUACGGAACGAAACGGUCUGGGUUAAUACCCUGGACUAAUGACGGUACCGUAAGAAUAAGCACCGGCUAACUACGUGCCAGCAGCCGCGGUAAAAC
rnacentral:rRNA from 1 species